rnacentral:rRNA from 1 species
GACGAACGCUGGCGGCGUGCUUAACACAUGCAAGUCGAGCGGUAAGGCCCUUUCGGGGGUACACGAGCGGCGAACGGGUGAGUAACACGUGGGUGACCUGCCCUUAGCUCUGGGAUAAGCCUGGGAAACUGGGUCUAAUACCGGAUAUGACUCCAUGACGCAUGUUGUGGGGUGGAAAGCCUUGUGCGGCUAGGGAUGGGCCCGCGGCCUAUCAGCUUGUUGGUGGGGUGAUAGCCUACCAAGGCGACGACGGGUAGCCGGCCUGAGAGGGCGACCGGCCACACUGGGACUGAGACACGGCCCAGACUCCUACGGGAGGCAGCAGUGGGGAAUCUUGCGCAAUGGGCGAAAGCCUGACGCAGCGACGCCGCGUGAGGGAUGACGGCCUCGGUUGUAAC